AGGAGGUUUGGACUCAUGGCUCAGGACGAACGCUGGCGGCGUGCUUAACACAUGCAAGUCGUACGAACGGAGGAGAGCUUGCUCUCCAAUGUUAGUGGCGAACGGGUGCGUAACACGUGAGCAACUUGCCCUUCGGUGGGGGAUAGCCGGCCCAACGGCCGGGUAAUACCGCGUAUUGCAUCAUUAUCGCAUGGUGGUGAUGUGAAAGCGGCCGCAAGGUCGCGCCGAGGGAGAGGCUCGCGACGUAUCAGCUUGUUGGUGGGGUAACGGCCUACCAAGGCUACGACGCGUAGCUGGUCUGAGAGGAUGAUCAGCCACAUUGGGACUGAGAUACGGCCCAGACUCCUACGGGAGGCAGCAGUGGGGAAUAUUGCGCAAUGGCCGCAAGGCUGACGCAGCGACGCCGUGUGUGGGAUGAAGGCUUUCGGGUUGUAAACCACUGUCAGGAGGGACGAAUACUCGGCUUCAAAUAGUUGACCGAGGGUGACGGUACCUCCAAAGGAAGCACCGGCUAACUCCGUGCCAGCAGCCGCGGUAACACGGAGGGUGCGAGCGUUGUCCGGAUUCACUGGGCGUAAAGGGCGCGUAGGCGGCUCUGUAAGUCACCUGUGAAAUCCCGGGGCUCAACUCCGGGGCUGCAGGUGAGACUGCAGAGCUAGAGCUCGGUAGAGGCAAGUGGAAUUCCCGGUGUAGCGGUGGAAUGCGUUAGAUAUCGGGAAGAACACCAGUGGCGAAGGCGGCUUGCUGGGCCGAUGCUGACGCUGAGGCGCGAAAGCGUGGGGAGCAAACAG
rnacentral:rRNA from 1 species